rnacentral:snRNA from 1 species
AAACCCGUAAGGCGCAAG